rnacentral:rRNA from 1 species
ACUGGAACUGAGACACGGUCCAGACUCCUACGGGAGGCAGCAGUGGGGAAUAUUGGACAAUGGGCGAAAGCCUGAUCCAGCCAUGCCGCGUGUGUGAAGAAGGUCUUCGGAUUGUAAAGCACUUUAAGUUGGGAGGAAGGGCAUUAACCUAAUACGUUGGUGUCUU